AAGUUUUCGGACGAGAAACCGCUGGGGAGAGUGGCGAAAGGGUGAGUAACGCGUGGGCAAUCUACCUCCAAGUUCGGGAUAACGGUUGGAAACGGCCGCUAAUACCGGAUGUGAUCCUCCGGGGCAUCUCGGAGUGAUGGAAGGUGGGGAUCCCGUCUUCGGGCGGGACCUGUCGCUUGGUGAGGGGCCCGCGUCCUAUCAGCUUGUUGGUGAGGUAACGGCUCACCAAGGCCGCGACGGGUAGCUGGUCUGAGAGGAUGGUCAGCCACACUGGGACUGAGACACUGCCCAGACUCCUACGGGAGGCUGCAGUCGAGGAUCAUUCGCAAUGCGCGAAAGCGUGACGAUGCGACGCUGCGUGGAGGAUGAAGGCCUUCGGGUCGUAAACUCCUGUCAUGAGGGAGUAACGCCUCGUCCGGAAUACGGACGGGGUCUGAGAGUACCUCCAGGAGGAAGUCCGGCUAACUCUGUGCCAGCCAGCCCGCGGUAAUACAGAGGUGGCCGACCGUUGUUUCGG
rnacentral:rRNA from 1 species